rnacentral:tRNA from 2 species
UCCGGCGUGGUCUGGUGGCUAAGAUACCUGGCUCUCACCCUGGAGGCCCGGGUUUGAUUCCCGGCGUGGGAA